GAGCUGCUGCCGGGGGCCACCAUGAGCCAGAGAUGGAGGUAGAGGGAGCCAGAGCCGCCAGGAGCCGGAGCCCAUGGACCCAUCAUUUGGUGGUAGUUACCGAGAGGAGACCCCACAAACCUUUUUCU